AUGCAGCUUGAUCACAGAGAUCUGACACAGGGGGGAAUCAAUGGAGAUUCAGUGGUGCAGACAGAAGGCCAAGUGCUCCUCUCUGAAGGGGAUUCCCUGAUUGUGAACUGCUCCUAUGAAACCACACAGUACCCUUCCCUUUUUUGGUAUGUCCAAUAUCCUGGAGAAGGUCCACAGCUCCUCCUGAAAGCCAUGAAGGCCAAUGACAAGGGAAGGAACAAAGGUUUUGAAGCCACGUACCAUAAAGAAACCACUUCUUUCCACUUGGAGAAAGACUCAGUUCAAGAGUCAGACUCCGCUGUGUACUUCUGUGCUCUGAGUGACACAGUGACAGGGACUGCAGGGGGAGCUGAGCACAAACUCUGA